UACGUAGGGAGCAAGCGUUGUCCGGAAUCAUUGGGCGUAAAGCGCGCGUAGGUGGCCUCAUAAGUCCGCUGUGAAAGUCAAAGGCUCAACCUUUGAAAGCCGGUGGAUACUAUGAGGCUAGAGUACGGAAGAGGCGAGUGGAAUUCCUGGUGUAGCGGUGGAAUGCGCAGAUAUCAGGAGGAACACCAAUAGCGAAGGCAGCUCGCUGGGACGUUACUGACGCUGAGGAGCGAAAGCGUGGGGAGCAAACAGG
rnacentral:rRNA from 1 species